GAUGAACGCUGGCGGCAGGCUUAACACAUGCAAGUCGAGCGCCCCGCAAGGGGAGCGGCAGACGGGUGAGUAACGCGUGGGAACGUACCCUUUGCUACGGAAUAGCUCCGGGAAACUGGAAUUAAUACCGUAUGUGCCCUACGGGGGAAAGAUUUAUCGGCAAAGGAUCGGCCCGCGUUGGAUUAGCUAGUUGGUGGGGUAAUGGCCUACCAAGGCGACGAUCCAUAGCUGGUCGGAGAGGAUGAUCAGCCACAUUGGGACUGAGACACGGCCCAGACUCCUACGGGAGGCAGCAGUGGGGAAUAUUGGACAAUGGGGGCAACCCUGAUCCAGCGAUGCCGCGUGAGCGAUGAAGGCCUUAGGGUUGUAAAGCUCUUUCAGUGGGGAAGAUAAUGACGGUACCCACAGAAGAAGCCCCGGCUAACUCCGUGCCAGCCGCCGCAGUAAGAC
rnacentral:rRNA from 1 species